rnacentral:rRNA from 1 species
GACGAACCGUGCGAACGUUAUUCGGAAUCACUGGGCUUAAAGGGCGCGUAGGCGGGCCGCAAAGUCAGGGGUGAAAUCCUCCAGCCCAACUGGAGAAGCGCCUUUGGUACUGGCGGCCUCGAGGGGUGCAGGGGCAUGCGGAACUCAGGGUGGAGCGGUGAAAUGCGUAGAUAUCCUGAGGAACACCGGUGGCGAAAGCGGCGUGCUGGACACCUUCUGACGCUGAGGCGCGAAAGCCAGGGGAGCCGAACGGG